GACGAACGCUGGCGGCGUGCUUAACACAUGCAAGUCGAGCGGAAAGGCCACUUCGGUGGUCCUCGAGCGGCGAACGGGGGAGUAACACGUGCGUAAUCUGCCCCUGGCUUUGGGAUAGCCACCGGAAACGGUGAUUAAUACCGGAUAUGGCACAUUCUCGCAUGAGCUUGGGUGGAAAGUUUUUCGGCCAGGGGUGUGCUCGAGGCCUAUCAGCUUGAUGGCGAGGGAAUGGCUCACCAGUGCCUGGAUGGGUAGCCGGCCUUGGAGGGUGACCAGUCACCAUGGGCCUGAGACACGCCGCAGACUCCUACGGGAGGCAGUGGUGGGGAAUAUUGGACAAUGGGGGGAAGCCUGUUCCAGCAACGCCGCGUGAGGGAUGACGGCCUUCGGGUUGUAAACCUCUUUCAGUACCGACGAAGCGCAAGUGACGGUAGGUACAGAAGAAGCACCGGCCAACUACGUG
rnacentral:rRNA from 1 species